rnacentral:rRNA from 1 species
UACGUAGGGGGCAAGCGUUGUCCGGAUUUAUUGGGCGUAAAGCGCGCGCAGGCGGUUCUUUUAAGUCUGGUGUCUAAGUGCGGGGCUCAACCCCGUGAUGCACUGGAAACUGGGGAACUUGAGUGCAGAAGAGGAGAGCGGAAUUCCACGUGUAGCGGUGAAAUGCGUAGAGAUGUGGAGGAACACCAGUGGCGAAGGCGAGUCUCUGGACAGCAACUGACGCUGAGGCACGAAGGCCAGGGGAGCAAACGGG